GACGAACGCUGGCGGCGUGCUUAACACAUGCAAGUCGAGCGGAGCGGCGAACGGGUGAGUAACGCGUGAGUAACUGCCCCCCUCUCUGGGAUAACAGUUGGAAACGGCUGCUAAUACCGGAUAGUGGGGGAUGACUCGCGUCCAAUCAGCUUGUUGGUGGGGUAGUGGCCUACCAAGGCGACGACGGGUAGCCGACCUGAGAGGGCGACCGGCCACAAGGGGCUGAGAUACGGCGCAAACGCCUACGUGAGGCAGCAGUGGGAAAUAUUGCACAAUGGGGGAAACCCUGAUGCAGAAACGUCGCGUGCGGGAUGACGGCUUUCGGGUUGUGAACCGCGUUCAGCCAUGACGCGGUAGUGGCAGAAGAAGCACCGGCUAACUACGUGCCAGCAGCCGCGGUAAUAC
rnacentral:rRNA from 1 species